CCAACUUAUCAAGGCCUGAUACCAAUAUUACUUCUUGGAAGCUUUAACAUACUCAAUUUUUCAGGCUCAGUAAGGAUACCUGAUUAGCUUUAAUACUGUUGCAGCUCAAAACUGUCAAGCAAUCGACCAUGAGGAGGGGUUUUCAAGCAAGGUGUUCAUGAAACCAAGACCUAAAUUCCAUCUACUACAUGAUAUCAUUAUAUUUCUUGGACAUUGGGAAAUGGAAUUCAUCUUUUUAAAACUCAAAUAGAAGGACAGCAAGGUGGCUCAAUGGAUAGAGAGCCAGGCCUAGAGACAGGGGAUUCAGGGAUCAAGUCUCACCUCAGACACCUCCAAGCCAUGUGACUCGGGGCAACUCACUUAACCCUACUCCCCUACCCCUUACUGCUCUUCUGCCUUGGAACGAAUUCUUAGUAUUAAUUCUAGGAUGGAAAGUAAGGGUUAAAAAAAAACAAACAACCUCAAAUAGAAACCUUACUUGCUUUUACUCAUUUCCAACUAAGUAUAUAACUCGUUUUUUUUUCCAUACCUCAGUGGUGUUUAAAUUAAAGCUAACAUACAAAAUCGAACUGUUGAUUCAAAAGGCUUUCUCAGGAGAUGUUAAGUGAAGUCAGUAAAUAUUUUUUAGCUUAGUGUUGCUACAUUAAGUGAAAGGCUGCUAUCCUCACCUCCUACGUAAAUGUCUCUGCGCACAGUCUGCACAACAUGCAGAAGUAUUUAUUUAUUUAGGGAAGUGUGGUCUGGUGGUGAAGAGCUGUGGUCUGAGCACGAGACCUCCAGUCAGAAAGACUUCUUCUUCGACCUUGAGAGAGUGCCUUCUCACCAUGUUAAACUGCUUCUCCCCCCUCACAUCCCCAGUCAGUGGAAUAGUAACAGUGACAAAGAUCCUACCUGGGUUGUCUAAAUAAAUCAAGUCACUAAAUCUUUAUUAAAUAUCUACCAUACACCAGGUACUGUGCUGAGCACUAGAGAUACAAGACAUUCCCUGCCCUCAGAGAGCUCACCCUCAAAGACCAAAGCAACAUACAAAUGGUCAUGUACAAAUGACGAACAAAUAUGUAUUGAUUAUAUAUUAAUCGUCUACUAGGUGCCAGUCACUGUGCUAAGUAAUAGAUACAAAAAAAAAGGGCAAAAGAGUCCCUGCCCUCAAGUAAGUUACAAUCUAACGGAUAUAUAGGAUAAUAUUGAAGUACACAGUAUAAGUUGUAAAUUAUCUCUGAGAGAAGAUAUUAAUGAUGAGAUUUAUAUGACAUCCUAGAAAUCUUUAUGGAGAUAAAGAGACCAGAAAGAGCAUCGGAUCUGGAGUAAGAGAACCUACAUUCAAAUCCCAGCUUUGUUAAAGAUAUGUGUGGCCUAGAAGGAGGCACAUAACCUCUUUGGGUCUCUGUUUCCUUGAAUGUAAAAACAGGGGAUUGGACUAGAUGACCUCUGAAGUUUCUUCCAUCUCUAAGUAAAAGGCUCUUCCAUUCAAAAAUUGAGCAGGAUAUGUAUCUAUAUGUGUGUAGCUGAGAAUUACAAAAUAUGAAGUAACAAGAAGUUUGGGCUACUUCUCACGAGUUUGGACCCAUAAUUAGAAAGAAAACCUCCAAUGGUGAAUGAGGAAGGAUAAAGCAAAUGCCUGUUAAUGAGCCUCACGAGGAAGGCAGUCAGUGCCUAUCUAUGAAAGCCACAUUGUCUACUUCGAGAUGACUGUUUGUUACCACACUGUUACUUCUUCAGGCCAAACGCCUGGAGAUGGCAAGAAGAAUUAGCCAUGCCCAGUUUUGGCCUUCCAUACAUUCACGAGGACAAUGGAGGUCGUGGGGGCAAAGUUACUUCAUCUUGUGGCUCAGAGGGAGAACACAGGGAUAGUCCAUGCCUUAAAAUACUUACUCCAUAGAAUUCCCUCCCCCUCAGAUUAAUUAGGGCUGAGGAUUUGGCCACUUUGGGCACAAAUGUGUUUUCAUUCUGAAACACUCUUGGCAUCAGGACAAGAGAUGAUGAUUCAAUUGGAUCCUUCUCCUGCUUCUUUUUGAAGCUUUAUAUGGCCCUUGGAAUAUACUCCAGCUGGCUCCAAAGAUGCGGGGUGCCGUUUCUGUUGCUAAGACCUAUAAAUUUCACGUUUCUGUUGCUAAGACCUAUAAAUUUCACCCUGUAUGUCACAGCAUCUUGCAUUGUAACUGGCAGGAUUGAACAUGAAUCCUGUUAGUCAAGCCUAACCUUGUUGACCUAUAUUUCAUACUAUGAGAAGAACAAUAAUGGACAGGUAGGUCCUCUUGAGCCUGCUGGCAAUGCCCUCUAGGAUGACGUUUUAUGACUCUGGUGGAUUUUGCUAUCAGAAUUAAAGAGUUCUCUCCACGUCACUAAACCUAGAGACUAGCAACACACCCUUAGUGGGAUACCACAACUUUUGAGCUCUCUGACAAGGUGAAAAUCCUUUCAUAAUCAUUCUGGGCAGGGCAAGGAAUGGAUAAUGGUUGGUCAUAUUACACCCUCUAGGGUGGUAGAUGUCUCAAAUAUAAUUUGCAAUGGUUUCUUAUGUUACACAACAAUUUUUUAAAAUAAUGAAUGAAAGGACAUUGCUUUUUUUUUUUUUAAGUGCAGAAAAAUCCUGACCAAGGCAUGGUAUCGUAGAUGAUGACCCAAUCCUUAGAGAAUGAGCAAGAUGUCCUGUCUGGUUCCAAUCCACCUGGAGCUUAAUGAGCCUGCUUGGGGGCAUAAAAAAUAGUGGGGUUCUUCUCCCACUUCAGAGCAUGGGCAGAUAUCCUAUGACUGUUUCCUGAAGGCUUACUACAUGAGGAUAAAAAUUCUUUUAAUUGGUUAUUGGGCCAGAAUGGAAUAUGCAUGCAUAAGUAGGUUCAAGUAAAUCAUCUUGGGUUCUUUUUCCUGGAAGUUUUUUGAGUGAGGAAGAUUUCUGUAUGCUGCUACUAAAGAUGAGAGCAAAUUGUUCUAUCUCCCACCUACAUAGCAUGUAUCUAUGGUACCCACAUUUCUUUGAUCUCUUUUGUGUUUAUCCUUUUUUAUUCAGGGAUAAGUGAGUUUUUUUUAGAUAAAAGCAUCCAACUGACCAGUAAGAUCAAGAGAUCCUUCGAAGCUAUCCAGUGUCCCACCAACACCAUAUUCAGUUGACUGAUGGCAGUUGUAGCUGAGUCCAAUGAGAAAGAGACAGUAUAAUAACCCUGAGGACCAAUCUGUUCAAUUCAAUCCAGCAAUGAAUCUACUUGGCAGCCAAGACCAGUUGAAAAAAGGAGCAAAAUAUCCAUUGGCUAUUGUUUGUCCUUAGUUUUCCAAGAGGACCGAUGACAUUACUAGUGAUGUCUUGACUUUCUCAUGAGUUGGAUUUAAAUGAAGCACAAAGUCAUCAAGCUCACUCUCUCUUCCCAAGUCAUCCAAGUCAUCCAAGACCAAUGGCAGGACCCAAAAUCAAGACCACUGGCGAUGACCCAGGAUGCAGUGAAUAACCUUGGAGUCCUUGUAUUAAGGGGAAUUUUGGAAGGAAAUAACGAACUGGAGUAAAGAGACAGAGUUGAUGGAAUGAAGGGAACCAGGAAAUGGAGGAGAAGCCCUCAGAAUCUGGGGGUGAGAAUUCUGAGGAAAGUAACUGCCAUCAGGGAGUUGGGUUGAGACUCUAGAGAAGAAAGGUUCUCCAAAAUUCAGCUCUUUCCACCUAUUGACCUCCAACCUGUUCCUAAGAGAAACCAGCCAGUUCCUGAAUAUCUUUUUGAUCCUAUACUCUGAUACUACAUCUGAAGAAGUCUCAAGCAGGCAUUUCAAGCAACUGUGACCUAAACCACUCAGUUUGCCUUGUUCGGCUUUGGCCUCAUCAAGGUGGACUAGGUCACACCCAACACCUGAUUCUGUUAUAAUCUGCAACUUUCUCUACAAACUAUAUUCUACGUGGGCUUAGUCUAGGUUAGUUCAGAUUAGACAGGGAGAAUUAGACAGGGAGGAAGAUAGCAUAGCCUCAGCUUUGCUGAGGACAGAAGUGACUUUAUGCAAAGUCAGAUGACAGGACAAAGGUAGAUUCAAUCAGUAUUAGGGAAACCCCUCAGUCCACCUUACCCUAUCCCAAUCAAUAAUUUAUAAUAAAACCCUGUUAUCAUUUAAGUGGAAUCAUAUUGGUUAUCUACUGGCCUUGGACAGAGAGAAGCCAUUUAGCUCUCUGCAUUGGAGAAGAUCAUUCGCCCUACCCCGAGUUAAGUAAAAUCCCAGUCACUGGUCUAAAUUAUCUUUUAACACUUGAUGUCUGACCAAGCUCUAAGUUCUCCAUGACACCUGCAUCAGCUGCCUUCAUGGUCAUUGAAACAAAUUUUUCUCAUCCCCCUCAACCUGGUUUAGCCAAUCUGCUGAGAUGGUUUUACUAGGGCUGUGGUCACAGUAUGUCACAGGUUCUUGGAGCCACAAGUGAGAGCUGGGUAAGAGGUGGACACCAAAGGUGAAAGAGCAGCCCUGAAAAGGGCUCAUCAAGCCCUUACCCCAGAGGUGCUAGUCCUUUCCAUCAGCUACACCAUAUGCAGAAAUGAACUUGAUGAGGUCUCUAAAAAGGAAGCAGACUCCCAGAGCCAAGAAGCAUGCUUACGCACACCCUGGGUUGGGUGUCAGGAAAGAUUUUAUACCAAACACUUUUAUUUCUUUGUUUUCUUAAUUUAUUUUAAACUCAUCUUCCAUUUUAGAAUCAAUACUAUGAUGCCUGCUUGUGGGCAUAAAUAAUAGAGAGUCUCUUCUCCCCCUUCACUGCGUGUACAGAUAUCUUAUGACUAUUUCCUACAGAUAUGCUGUGUGAGGAUAAAAAAUCUUUUAAUAACUGUGGGGCCAGAAUGGAGUAAGCAUGCAAAAGUAAGUUCAAGUAAACAAUCUUGAAUUCUCUUUCCCAGAAGCUUAGUUCUAAAGUAGAAGAGCAGCAAGGGCUAGACAAUGGAGAAUUAAGUAACUUGCCCAGGGUCACACAUCUAGGAAGUGUCUGAGGUCAUAUUUGAACCCAAGACUUCCCAUCUUUAGGCCAGGCUCUCUAUCCACCAAGCCAUAUCACUACUCCCUACUAAACACUUUAAAUUUGAGCCCACUCUCCUUAGGAGCUACAUAUAUGCAGAAAGAAGACUAUAUUUCCAGUUUGACGGUAGGGGAUCUAUACUUUAUGAUAAUUUCUCAGUUGUCAUUUCAUUUUUGUAAAACUUGCAAGUUGUUUUAGUCAAAUCCAACUUUUUGUAAUCCCAUUUGGGAUUUUCUUGGCCAAGACACACUGGAGUGGUUUGCCAUUUCCUCCAGCUCAUUUUUCUGAUGAGGUAACUGAGACUGACAGGGAUAAAUAACUUGCCCAAGGUCACACAACUAAUACAUGGCCAUGGCCAAAUUUGAACUCAGGAAGAGCAGUCUUCCUCAUUCCAGGUAUUUAUUAAACACCUAAGAUGUCCUGGGCACUGUUCGAGGCCCUGGAGAUAUAAAAGUGAAAAAAUAUAUAUAAUUCCUGCCCUUGUAGAGUUUAUAUUCUUCUGGGAAUUAUUUUCUUCUUUUUCAUUUUAGGGAUAUUUGGUAUGGUCUCAACUUGUUUUAAAUGUCUGCAUUGGCCCUGAAAUACAAGGACAAAUACAUUUGGGAACAAAAGUUCUGCUGUUUCGAGAUGGAAGUGUAUAAGUCUUUUAUGCCUCUCCUCCUUAAAGGGAAUGAGGGAGGAGGUGGAGCUGGCUAAAUAUCUCAUCAGGAUCCAGAAGUGACACCUGUCCUCUUCCUGCCCUCAGACACACACAGACUUGAAGAGACAUCCCUCCAUAGGGGUGGGGUUGAGGGUGAUGAUUUGAGAAUAGGUCAUGCCUAAUGGGAAAAGAAAAAGAGUGCCUGGAUCAGAUUCCAUUGAUGUCAGGAGAAUGUCCUAGGAAGAGUAUGCCGUGUGCUUAAGGAUCCUAGCUUCUCGUGAACAUUCCUUUAUUGAGCACUUGGCUCUUUUGUCUCUACUCAAGGCUAUUCUACAAGACAUACUGGCAUCAGCCCACCUUUGGUUCCUGUAAAUAUAAUGUCUAUGCAGAACUACUUGAACUAUUUCUUUGCUAAUACAACCAAGUAUAUGAACUGGAUGGUAUAAUUUACUGAUGAAAAUUAGAACGGAAGAUCAUGAUUUUUUAAAAAUCAAGCAGAGAAAACUCUGAAGCAACAGGAAAAGCACUUCCACUUUUGAUGAGGGAAAUUAUCAUCAGCCAAAAGAACAAGAAGAAUGGACCAAAUAUCACCUGGGAUGCUGGUUAAACCUGUUCUUCUACUGCAUUUUUCACCUGCCUUAGACACUGGUUGGAAGGUACAGUUGUUCCCUCCUCUGGGAGCAGAGCCAGCCUCUGCCUUACAAUCCUUUCUGUUUUAGCCGAGUCAAGUAUGGAUCUCAGUGAACCCAUCCCUAGGCCAAACAGGAAUUGAUCCGGGUGGAGAGGGCAUUGGUCCAAGGAAAGGACAAGGAAAAAAAAUUGCUAUGUCUGAAUAAGUUGAGCUAAUUCUUAGGGAAUUAUAUCAAGCAUUAUAUUCAUGUCAUCAAGAAAGCACCCUGGCAAGAUUAUUAUUAUCCACUAAUCAUUCAGAAAAUGUUGAUGAGCAGGCAGACAGUUUAAGAGGUGAUCAGUUGAAUUUGGAAUAAUAAAAGGAAAAUUUUGCAAGCCUAAGUGAUGCCCUUCGAGCUGGCAAAGAACGGAAAGAAAAGACUUAUGAAAAAGAUUUCCUUUUCCUUGAAUCUUAGCUAAAAUCCCAUCUUCUCCCAGAGACCUUUCCCAAUCUCUCCUCAAUGUUAAUACCUUUCCUCUAUUGAUUAUCUCCAAUUUAUCUUGUUUAUUUAAAAAAAUUAAGUCCUUACCUUCUGUCUUAGAAUCUAUAUAAGUAUCAGUUUUAGGGCAAAAGAAUGAUAACGGCUAGGAGAUUGGGGCUGAGUGACUUGACCAGGGUCACACAGCCAGGAGGUAUCUGAGAUCAGAUUGGAAUCCAGGACCUCAUCUUGUAUACCUCUUGUCUAUUUGGAGUUAUUUGUAUGUUUCUAUGUGCAUAAAUGCUUAUUAAAUGCUUUUUCAUUCAUUCAUGAAUUUGCUCAGUCAUUCAUGAUUUUAUUCCCUCUUUAGAAUGCAAGUUCCUUGAGGACAAGAAUUGCUUCAUUUUUCCCUUUGUAUGUCCACUAUCCAUUAGAUCUUGAGCUUCUUGAGAGUAUGGGCUAUCUUUUACAUUUCUUAACAUUUCUCACCUUUAACAUAGUGCCAGAUAAAUAAUUGGUGCUUAAUAAAUAGACUUUGAACAACUGAUUGUGGAGUUAACAUGGGGGCAGAUUUGAUCAAAAAACAAUUCUGCCAACUCAUGUAGAGGAGGAACAACUAUCUGCUAGGUAAGGUCAACCAGUGUGGGACAGAAGAAAAAACCAUGAGGUCAGUCUUUGGUGUUCUACUUCCUUUUUUUUUUUCUUCCUACCCUUUUGGUGCCCUUUAUCCCAUGCAUAAUCAGCCUUCCAGUGUUCAUAUGCUCCCUAAUUUUUUCUUAGACCUGAUACUACAUAUUGGUUCCAAGGCAGAAGAGCAGUAAAAGUGAGAGAAAUUGGGUUUAAAUGACUUGUCCAGUCACCCAGCUAGGCAGUGUCUAAUGCUACAUUUGAACCCAGGACUUUCCAUCUCCAGACCUGACUCUCUAUCCACUGAGCCAACUAGCUUCCCUUUUGCUGCCCAAUCUUUUACCAGUAUCUAGUUGAGUGCUUUGAACAAAGUGGAUGUGUUUUUGAAUGAAUGUUUGAAAGAGGGGGCAGCUAGGUGGCUCAGUGCAUUGAGAGCCAGCCAAGCCUAGAGAUAGAAGGUCCUGGAUUCAAAUAAAGCCUCAGACACUUCUAAACUGUGUGACCCAAGGCAAGUCACAACCCCCAGUGCUUGGCCCUUACCGCUCUUCUGCCUUAGAACCAAAACCCAGUAUUGAUUCUAAGAUGGAAGGUAAAAUAAAAUUUAAAAAUAAAAAAAAUCUUUCAAAUAUGACCUCAGAUACUUCUCAGCUGUGUGACCCUGGGCAAGUCAUUUAACCCCUAUUUCGUAGUCCUUAGCAUCCUUCUGCCUUAGAUCCAAUACCCACUGUUGAUUCUAAGAUGGAAGGUAAGAGUUUUUAUUAAAAAAAAAUGAAUGUAUGAAAGACCCUUACAUCUGACUAAUUUACAUUAAAAUGCUAAAAACUAAAUAUGUUACUCUAAUUGAUGUUUGUCCAAGUGCAUAAUAAUAAAACAAAGAAAUGUAAAAAAUAAAAUGUAGGUUAUUCUUUCCAAGAAUAUUUAGAUUUUGAAAUAAGAACUUUGGGAGAAAAAGUUGAACGAAUUAAAAGAUCAUUUUGGAAAAUUGUGGAAGAAAUUUUUGUUGACUGACCCCAAAGGACCUUUCCCCCAACCAUUUGUCACUGUAUAAAAAGAACUCUUCUCAUCAAAACAACUCUGAGGUAUCACUUCACAGCUAGCAGAUUGACUAACAUGACAGCAACAGAAAGUAAUGAAUGCUGGAGGGGAUGUGGCAAAGUUGGGACAUUAAUGCACAGCUGGUGGAGUUGUGAAUUGAUCCAACCAUUCUGGAGGGCAAUUUGGAACUAUGCCCAAAGGGCGAUAAAAGACUGUCUGUCCUUUGAUCCAGCCAUAGCACUGCUGGGUUUGUACCCCAAAGAGACAAUAAGGAAAAAGACUUAUACAAGAAUAUUCAUAGCUGCACUCUUUGUGGUGGCCAAAAAUUGGAAAACGAGGGGAUGCCCGUCAAUUGGGGAAUGGCUGAACACAUUGUGGUAUAUGUUGGUGAUGGAAUACUAUUGUGCUCAAAGGAACAAAGAACUGAAGGGAUUCCAUGUGAACUGGAAUGACCUCCAGGAAGUGAUGCAGAGCGAGAGGAGCAGAACCAGGAGAACAUUGUACACAGAGACUGAUACAGUGUGGCACAAUCAAAUAUAAUAGACUUCACCAUUAGUUGCAAUGUAGUGAUCCUAAACAACCUGGAGGGAUCUACAAGAAAGAACACUAUCCACAUUCAGAGGAAAAACUGUGAGAGUAGAAACACAGAAGAAAAACAACUCCUUGACUACAUGCCUCGAGAGGGAUAUGGUUGGGGAUGUAGACUCUAAAUGAACAUCCUAGUGCAAACAUCAACAACAUGGAAAUAGGUUCUGAUCAAGGACACAAGUAAUACCCAGUGGAAAUUGCCUGUGGGCUGCGGGAAGGGUGAGGGGAGGGGAGGGAGGGAAAAAAAUAUGAUUCUUGUA